rnacentral:rRNA from 1 species
GACGAACGCUGGCGGCGUGCUUAACACAUGCAAGUCGAACGGAAAGGCCCUGCUUUUGUGGGGUGCUCGAGUGGCGAACGGGUGAGUAACACGUGAGUAACCUGCCCUUGACUUUGGGAUAACUUCAGGAAACUGGGGCUAAUACCGGAUAGGAGCUCCUGCUGCAUGGUGGGGGUUGGAAAGUUUCGGCGGUUGGGGAUGGACUCGCGGCUUAUCAGCUUGUUGGUGGGGUAGUGGCUUACCAAGGCUUUGACGGGUAGCCGGCCUGAGAGGGUGACCGGCCACAUGGGGACUGAGAUACGGCCCAGACUCCUACGGGAGGCAGCAGUGGGGAAUAUCGCACAAUGGGCGGAAGCCUGAUGCAGCAACGCCGCGUGCGGGAUGACGGCCUUCGGGUGGUAAACCGCUUUCGCCUGUGACGAAGCGUGAGUGACGGUAAUGGGUAAAGAAGCACCGGCUAACUACGU